GCACCCAUAGUGUAGCCCGGUCCAACACGUCUCCCUGUCACGGAGAAGACCAGGGGUUCGAAUCCCCUUGGGUGCG
rnacentral:tRNA from 1 species